rnacentral:rRNA from 1 species
UGCAAAUCAAUAUAAAUUGAUAUUAUUUAUUUAUUUAUUAUUUGUUUGUUAAUAAUUUAUUAUUAAUUAUGUAUAAUUAUUAUUAAAAAUAAUUAUAUAAUUUUAUUAGUUUUAGUAAUUUUAAUGAAAAAAUAAGUUUUAUAAUAGUUAAUUUGUAUUGUGAAAGAUUAUUGAAAUAUAUUGAAAAAUUCAUAAUUAAAAAGAAGAUUUAAUUUUUUGUACCUUGUGUAUCAGGGUUUAUUAAAUAAUUAAUAAUUAUUUAUUAAUUUCGAUUUUAUAAGAGUUAAUAAUUAAUGAAAGUUAAUGUGAUAAAAUUAUUUUUAAUUAAUUAUUAGAAAUGAAACGUUAUUCGUUUAUAAAGGUAUCUAGUUUUUUUAGAAAUAAAUUUAAUUUACGAAUUUUUAAUUUAUUAAUUAUUUCAUUAUAAUUAAUAAAUUUAUUAAUUUGACUAUUUUAAGGGAUAAGCUUUAAAAUAAAUUAUUAUAAAUUAAUAGAUUAUUAUUUUAAAUAUAUGCAUAGAAUUAGCAAUUAUUAAUAAGUUUGUUUUAAAUUAUUUUAUUAUUUAUAUUAUUUAUUAUAUUUUAAUUUUAUAUAAAAAUUUUUUUUUUAAUUUUAAUUGAAAAGUAAUAAUGAUGAAAUUAGUAUAUAUUUUAUGUAAUAUUAAAUUCAUAUGAUAAGUUUAUGUAAAUAACUCGGCAAAUAAUAUACUCGCCUGUUUAACAAAAACAUGUCUUUUUGAGUUCUUUUUAAAGUCUGACCUGCCCAAUGAAGUAAUUUUUAAUGGCCGCAGUAUUCUAACUGUGCAAAGGUAGCAUAACAUUAGUCUUUUAAUUGAAGGCUUGUAUGAAUGGUUGGACGAAGUAUAANCUGUUUCAUAUAAAUUUUAUAUAGAAUUUUAUUUUUCAGUAAAAAAGCUGAAAUUUAAUUAAAAGACGAGAAGACCCUAUAAAUCUUUAUAUUUUAUAUUAUUUAAAUUUUUUAGAUAUAUUUUAUUUUAAUAUUAUAAAAUAUUUUGUUGGGGUGAUAUUAAAAUUUAUUUAACUUUUAAUUAAUUAAAAACAUUAAUUUAUGAUUUAUUGAUCCAUUAAUAAUGAUUAUAAGAAUAAGUUACUUUAGGGAUAACAGCGUAAUUUUUUUGGAGAGUUCUUAUCGAUAAAAAAGUUUGCGACCUCGAUGUUGGAUUAAGAUAUAUGAUUAGGUGUAGCUGCUUAAUUAUUAAGUCUGUUCGACUUU